ensembl:piRNA 21ur-138 ncRNA
UCUGCAAUCGAUUUCUGCAAU